UAACCCCACGUUCACUGUGUAACUGAAGAGCAAAAAGGAAAAAAAAAGCCUCGGAUUUUCAGAACUGAUCUUCAUCUUCACAACCCUACUCAUCUAAUCUAAAAAUUGAUUGCUCAUCUAAACUGAUCUUCAUUCUCACAACCCUACUCAUCUAAUUUGGUUUCUAUUAUUGUUCUGCUUCAAGAAUCAUCAAUAACCGGAAACAGAUUUGUCUGCUCCCCCAUCACCGUGAUUAAAAAUCUGUGAAUUCAUCAUCUUAAUUAAUUUUUUUUUCAAUGUCUCACGAAUUUAGGCCAGACAAUUGCUGAUUCUGCAUGAAUUGAUUAUCAAUUUUGUAUCCCAAGUUCUCCAAUUCUCUUAUAAAAUUUACACCCUUUUAACAGUUUAUAAGAGGGUAAGAUUUCUUAUUGGUCGUUUCUGGAUUCAUCAUCUAUGAGCACUUACAAAAUCUGAAGAAGAAAAAAGGUAACAAUUAUUAUCCUCCCUUGGGUUGUUCUCAAUGGUUUCUCUGGAUUUUGAAAUGCUUGCGGGGAAAGAAUGCUCAUGCAACUUAAGAACUAAAAAAAUCAAUUACAUAAAUAGAGAACCAUUCAUAUAAAAUGGUUAGAACAGAUUCCAAACUCAAUAUGAAAGUACUCUUAAGAGAUGCAAGUACGAAUUCCUCUCAACUGGUGAGAAUAAUCUACAUGAGUUGGGUAAACACAAUUCUUCAUUUUGCUCAAUUCUUGGUGUUUUUGAUGGCAUUCGGCAGUUCUGCUCAUCAAGCUUUAUGUAUAACUGGAACCAAAUAGGGAAGCAAGCUGCUUUGGCCUAGCGCUACUUACGCAGUGAGCACUAUAUUUCUGUAGGUUGGUAAAUGGAAGCUUCUAGUGUAGAUGGAUCCAUAUCAAUCGGCGUCCUUAACCAGUUCUGUAGGAGAAUCAAUGCUUUCACAGUUCGGGGUCUUAAAGAACUACGGAAAUGACCAAGUAUUCGCUUUCCAGUACUGAAAGCAGAUUCACUUGCAACUGAAGAGACGGGAAUAACAAGUAUGUCUCUUGCUAUAAGUGACAGAAUAUCAAACCUUGCAUUAUUGCUUUUCCACCAAGUCAAUAUAUCAAACUUUGAACCUUCUUUCUUGUCUUUUGUUGGUGAGUAAAUCUGCUCCGAUAAGUAUCUUUCCACCUCUGAUUUGUCAAAAUCCUCCAUUGUAGACAACUGGGUUUUACGUUCUUCUC